rnacentral:rRNA from 1 species
GAUGAACGCUGGCGGCGUGCCUAAUACAUGCAAGUCGAGCGAACAGAUGAGGAGCUUGCUCCUCUGACGUUAGCGGCGGACGGGUGAGUAACACGUGGAUAACCUACCUAUAAGACUGGGAUAACUACGGGAAACCGGAGCUAAUACCGGAUAAUAUAUUGAACCGCAUGGUUCAAUAGUGAAAGACGGUUUUGCUGUCACUUAUAGAUGGAUCCGCGCCGCAUUAGCUAGUUGGUAAGGUAACGGCUUACCGAGGCAACGAUGCGUAGCCGACCUGAGAGGGUGAUCGGCCACACUGGAACUGAGACACGGUCCAGACUCCUACGGGAGGCAGCAGUAGGGAAUCUUCCGCAAUGGGCGAAAGCCUGACGGAGCAACGCCGCGUGAGUGAUGAAGGUCUUCGGAUCGUAAAACUCUGUUAUUAGGGAAGAACAAAUGUGUAAGUAACUAUGCACGUCUUGACGGUACCUAAUCAGAAAGCCACGGCUAACUACGUG